AUACGGAGGAUCCGAGCGUUAUCCGGAUUUAUUGGGUUUAAAGGGAGCGUAGGCGGACGCUUAAGUCAGUUGUGAAAGUUUGCGGCUCAACCGUAAAAUUGCAGUUGAUACUGGGUGUCUUGAGUACAGUAGAGGCAGGCGGAAUUCGUGGUGUAGCGGUGAAAUGCUUAGAUAUCACGAAGAACUCCGAUUGCGAAGGCAGCCUGCUGGACUGUAACUGACGCUGAUGCUCGAAAGUGUGGGUAUCAAACAGGAUUAGAUACCCUGGUAGUCCACACAGUAAACGAUGAAUACUCGCUGUUUGCGAUAUACAGUAAGCGGCCAAGCGAAAGCGUUAAGUAUUCCACCUGGGGAGUACGCCGGCAACGGUGAA
rnacentral:rRNA from 1 species